rnacentral:rRNA from 1 species
CUAAGGAAGUAAAAGUCGUAACAAGGUUUCCGUAGGUGAACCUGCGGAAGGAUCAUUACAGUUUUACUGCGAGGCGCGAGCCGAGCACGUAUAUAUACCCUUGAAUACUAUUUUAAAAAUUGGACUUCGGUCCCGCAAAACACAAAAAAAACUUUUUAAAACGAAUCACAAACAAUACUAAAAAUAUCAAAACUUUCAACAACGGAUCUCUUGGUUCUCGCAACGAUGAAGAACGCAGCGAAUUGCGAUACGUAUUGUGAAUUGCAGAUUUUCGUGAAUCAUCGAAUCUUUGAACGCACAUUGCGCCCUGUGGUAUUCCACAGGGCAUGCCUGUUUGAGCGUCGUUUCCUUCUCAAGUCGCGAGAUUUGGUGUUGGGCAUGGCGGCAGCCGGUCUGAAAUAUUUGUGGAGCGCGCGAGUCUGAGCGCUAGUGUCUAGCAAUAUUCAUUAGUUGUGGCAAGACUUUUCCAGCAAUCCAAGUAAAUAUCACAGCAAUCGACC